ensembl:lncRNA
CCGUAUCUGUGGGUGGAGUUGGAGCAGCUGGGGCCCUCUGUCGGGGACUGUGGGGACUGAUGGUUCUUGGAGAUUUGGCGGAAGGAAGUAGCGGAUGGAGUUCUUUGGUUCCAGUUUAGAAUCCAGAACAAGCCCAGUGUUUCUUCUGUCCUCUUGGUGGGCGGGUGGAACUCUAAGGACAAUGGCUAAGGCUCUGGCCUCUGUUGGGCUCAGGGGAGAGUUCUGUGUGUGGAGAAUGGGAAGGCCCGCCCUGGCUGUGAGUGCUACCUCCCCUAAGGCCAUGCAGCCUGGAUAGACUAUAAGGGACCGAAAGAAGGCUGCUGCUGCUGUCACUUGCUGCUUGUUCGCAACUUCACUUCUUUGCUGCCUUCUGCCCACUAUGAACUGUUUCUCCUCUGGGUUUCCUCUCUGCCAGCCUGGCAUCCUCUGUGAUGCCAGCCUGCCUUGGAGCCAGCUUAGUGUGGAUUGAAACCUCUACAAACUGUGAGCUACGAUAAAUCUUUC